rnacentral:ribozyme from 13 species
UUUGCUGCUCUUAUUUCAGUUUUUGUUAUUGUUUUGAAUUUUAUUUGUCUUCCUCCUUUGUACCCUCCUACCAAAGAGAAGAAGGACGAUGAGGACACUAAAAAGAACGACAACAGCAACGCUCUCAGCCCUCUCAAACCUAUGUUCUCUCUUCUUCAAAAUUCAU